GUUCUACAUAUGUCGUUGGAGUGUUCUACCUAUGUCAUUGAAGUGUGAUACCUAUAUCAUUGGAAUGUUCUACCUAUAUCAUUAAAGUGUUUCUACCUAUGUCAUUGGAGUGUUAUACCUAUGUCAUUGGAGUGUUUACGUUUGGAGUGUUUCUACUUCUGUAGUGUUCUAUCUAUUUGGAAUGUUUCUACCUAUGUCAUUGGAGUGUUAUACCUACAUUGGAGUGUUAUACCUAUGUCAUUGGAUGGCAGUGUUCUACCUAGGUCAUUGGAGUGUUCUACCUAAGGUCAUUGGAGUGUUCUACCUAGGUCAUUGGAGUGUUCUAUCUAUGUCAUUGGAUUGUUCUACCUAUGUCAUUCUGUGUUGAUGUUAUGUUACAAAAAUAAACAUGACAACAUUCAAGUUUGUGUUUAUUUUUGUGUUGACAAAAUUAACUUUUGUGACACAAAAUUCAUUUUUU
rnacentral:lncRNA from 1 species